GACCAACCAACAAAGUUUAAUUGUCUCGACAAUUUCCCAAGGCCAAAUAACAAGACACUUGCAAGUAGCCCAUGUCACAAAGGCCAGUAACCCACACAAAACAAGAAAAAGAAUACCCCAACAACUGGUCAUUUACAAAGAUUAAAUAGGUUUCAAAGAGGUAUUACGCCUGUUUAACUGGUAGAUCUUCCUGAACUUUGAUCAUAUUCAACACUCUCCAGCAUACUGCACUUCUACCAUGAGAGCUAUAGGAAUGGUCGAAAAACAUCUGUACGCCAUACGGUGUGUUGGCCUUAGGUACAUCAUUUGUUUCCAUGAACACUCGCUACUAGGACAUGUAAUGUAUUUGUGUGUGUUCGUUCUCAGGGCAAACUUGUACAAAGCACUUUGUAUUCCUAUGAUUCAUGUAGAAAUUGAGUAAGAAGUGGAACUUCACCAGUUUUUGUCUGUUAUUAAUUCGCAGAGAAGGGGACAAGACAAGGUAUCUGUUGGGAGUUGAAUACAAAAAAACCAAUGGAAUCAUUCAGAAGGAAAUAUCAGGAAAUGGAAGAGGAAAAGGAACCAGCUUGUAUCAAGGCUCCUUAUUUGUAACAGCUGAGAGUUUCAAAUGCUAUAAUAUGCUAACUCUGAAAGCAUGAAUUUUUAAAAAUCUUUAUGAUUACCUUAAUUUCCACGAGUGAGAAGCAUAAGCUUUGAUCUCUGAGAUUAUUUCAUAUUAUACAGACUGUAAACUGGCUAUAAAACUUCAGGGCUACUCAAGGAUCCUCAGCACAACCAAUUUACUAUAUUUUUACAAGGUGGCUUGGUAACAAAAAAACAUAAAAAAAUGGAAAGGUGUAGUAAACAAUAGGAUGGUACAUAAAUAACUGCUUGCUCAUUAACACCACCUUCAAAACUAGUGGAUUAAAUUAUACAGAAGCUCUGGAAGUGCAUUUACAUUAACUACUAUACUACUGUAAUUGAGCCUUAAAAAAAGAAACUUGCAAUCUCAAAUACAGGAAAUGUAAGGCAAUACAUUGCAGAAUGUAUGGCCGUUGAUGAAAUAUUGAACUUCUUUUAGGCUAUAUAAUGUACAUUACAAAAUGUAUAUCAUACACAGUAGUUCAUUUGCAGACAAUACAUACAAUAUAUGGCAGACUAUGUCAGAAGAAUUCCACAGAAGGUUGGUCCAAAGGUAUUUCUUGGAUCUUCCCAAAAGUUAAAUCCAUAGAUCGUUCUUUUUGGGGAAGCAUGUUUGGCAUGCUUAUGAAAUCUGUAACCAAUCUUAAAGUUGAAAAAGUCGCCACUUAGGCCUAUAUUUUUAACAGACAUAAACAAAUGCUCAGUAGUACAAGUUUUGAUUGUGUUCAUUUUUGGACAGUGUUCAAAACAAUAUACUCAACAAGUACAUAGUUCCAAAGUGGGCUCUGCUUAUGUUACAGCAGCUCUCACGAGCACCACAAACUAAAUGGCGAAAUCGAUUCAAAGGGAACUCCCUCUGCUGGUGAUUGGUUGAAUUUGUAAUCCUACAGGAGGGCUAUGUAAGUGAUUGAUUCAUUUUGGCCUUUAUAAUUUUUUUUAAUUAAGGCCAAAAUGUAAAACCGUCUAAUAUUUAGCAAUUGUUUACAGACUUCAAAAAGAUAUGCCCAACAACCUUUCUUUAAAGGAUCUUUCAUUGAUUUCAUUUUAAGGACUAUUUUGAGCUGCUCUCAUGGAAUUGCAUGCCUUUAUGCAUGACAGUCUUUUGAUCUUUUUUAUUUCUGAAUACAGUUCUUCAUAAAUAUAUAUUUUGAGCGCAUUCACAAGAAAUAAUGUAGGCAUAACGUCCUAGCCAUCCAAAUCACUUCCUAUUCACCCAGUGUGGUUUUGUCUUACAUUCACAACAUUUACAAGGCCAAAUCAUCUAUAUUUACCACAGAAUUCCCCAUAUGUUUGGGUAUUAUUAAUGACACAGUACUUUCACAAUCCAAAAAAUCCAAGAUGGAGUCACACCAGUGCUGACAAACGUGAAUAAAUUAUCUAUGACGGAAUUCAGUCUCAAAUUCUGUUGGGAUUAAUAACACUCCAUAGAAGAUAAAGCACUACUAUGUUUACUGUCAUUUUUUUCUGCCUCUGUGCAUUUCAGUUGGAGAGCAACACACCUUCAUCCAGAGGUGCUCUCGGUCUGCACUUUUCUUUAACACACUUUGAAAUUAGCAUUUUGUGGAAAUAUUGCACAUUCAAUCUGAAUUCAUACAUAACAGCAAUGUGGCUAGAGCUAUGACAAAACAAUAGAACAAUGCAUUACAGUAAUAUGGAAAAGGGACAUCAGAAAUGGUGCCAACAAAUAUGUAUUUGGACUAGCAUUGGUUCUCCUGGAGACAUCUAUUGGGCAGGUUUUGAUACAAUCCUCAUGGCUAAAUGGUUUAAAGAACAAGAUCCCAGUGACAACAUGGUUUAUGGAGUCAAACAGUGCUAUGUAGCAAGACUGUUUAUAUAAAUGGUGGAACAGAGCUGGUCUUUAAAUGUGUAUGCUUUAGGCUAACCAGAAACUUGUUUAACAUGACACUAUUGUGAUUUAGGAGGUAUUGAGCUGGUUUAGAAGGGACAAUAGAUAUGAUUUAUGGAGUUGCGGAGCUGGUUUAGCAGAACAACGUAUGUUUAUGAUCUAUCGCGCUACAUGCCUGGUUUGGCAGGACCUUGUGUAGGCGUAUAACGAUUUAUACUACAGCGUUAGUUUAGCAGGACACUGUAGGCAACACUUAUACAGGAGAAGACAUUAAAAGGUAACAGAUGAAGACAGGUGAGGUGGGUAGGCUUCCAGGCCUCUUCACAAA
ensembl:lncRNA